GAUGAACGCUAGCGAUAGGCUUAACACAUGCAAGUCGAGGGGCAGCAUGGUCUUAGCUUGCUAAGACUGAUGGCGACCGGCGCACGGGUGCGUAACGCGUAUGCAACUUGCCUCACAGAGGGGGAUAACCCGUCGAAAGACGGACUAAUACCGCGUACACUCCAUCUUGGGCAUCCAAGGUAGAGGAAAUGAAAUUCGCUGUGAGAUAGGCAUGCGUCCCAUUAGCUAGUUGGUGAGGUAACGGCUCACCAAGGCGACGAUGGGUAGGGGAACUGAGAGGUUGAACCCCCACACUGGUACUGAGACACGGACCAGACUCCGACGGGAGGCAGCAGUGAGGAAUAUUGGUCAAUGGGCGAGAGCCUGAACCAGCCAAGUCGCGUGAAGGAUGACUGUCUUAUGGAUUGUAAACUUCUUUUAUACGGGAAUAACAAGAGUCACGUGUGACUCCCUGCAUGUACCGUAUGAAUAAGCAUCGGCUAACUCCGUG
rnacentral:rRNA from 1 species